GUUUAAAUAAUUUAUGGUGUAGUUGGUAUUCACAUCUGUCUAACACACAGGAGGUUUUCAGUUCAAAUCUGAAUAAAAACA